AAAAUCCAUGCUUGCGCGUAGCGAAGACGGCCCUCUGGGUUGUAAACUGCUUUUAUCUGGUGAUAAAAAGGCCUUGCGAGGCACAUUGAAGGUACCAGAUGAAUAAGCACCGGCUAACUACGUGCCAGCAGCCGCGGUAAUACGUAGGGUGCAAGCGUUGUCCGGAUUUAUUGGGUUUAAAGGGUGCGUAGGCGGUCUAUUAAGUCAGUGGUGAAAUCCAACAGCUCAACUGUUGAUGUGCCAAUGAUACUGAUGGACUUGAGUACAGACGAGGUAGGCGGAAUUGACAGUGUAACGGUGAAAUGCAUACAUAUUGUCCAGAACACCGAUAGCGAAGGCAGCUUGCUAGCCUGUAACUGACGCUGAGGCACGAAAGUAUGGGGAUCAAACAGGAUUACAUACCCUGGUAGUCCAUACAGUAAACGAUGAUUACUCGAUGUUGGCGAUACACAGUCAGCGUCUUACCGAAAGCGAUAAGUAAUCCACCUGGGGAGUACGCUGGCAACAGUGAAACUCAAAGGAAUUGACGG
rnacentral:rRNA from 1 species